GGCACGGUGGCUCAGUGGUUAGCACUGCUGCCUCACAAUAAGGAGGUUCCGAGUUCGAGCUCGGCCAGCCA